GGAUAUGAGGGCAAUCUGGAUGCAGCAUCUGUCACCUCAUUGAUUGCCAGGGUUGAUGUGACCAAUAGCACUGGCUUGGGGGGUGCCUCCCUCUUCCUCAACAACCCAUGCAUAUCCCCCCAGAACUGACACUUUGUUUUUGAGACAUGGUUUGUACGUAGCUUUGGUGUCUGUCCUGGAGUUCUGUAGAUCAGGCUGAUCUCAGAUUCACAGAGAUCUGCCUGCUUCUGCCUCCUGAGUUCUGGGAUCAAAGGCAUGAGCCACUGCCCAGCCAGAACUGAGCCAACCAUAUACACAUGGCUUCACUCUCCAGCUAGAACCUCCAGACAAGUUCUCAGAAUAUAAGUUCUCUAUUCUAAAAUAGAGCAUUGUCUUAUACUUAGACUUUAGUGUGUUUCUGGCAAAUUUUACUUUAUGU
rnacentral:snRNA from 1 species